rnacentral:rRNA from 1 species
UCCAGACUCCUACGGGAGGCAGCAGUAGGGAAUUUUGCGCAAUGGGGGAAACCCUGACGCAGCAACACCGCGUGAAUGUUAAGCCCUUCGGGGUGUAAAGUUCUGUCAAUAGGGACGAAUUUUGACUGUACCUAUAAAGGAAGCACCGGCUAACUCCGUGCCAGCAGCCGCGGUAAUACGGGGGGUGCAAGCGUUGUCCGGAAUCAUUGGGCGUAAAGCGUUCGUAGGCGGUAAUAUAAGUCAGAUGUGAAAGGUGGGGGCUCAACCCCUAGAGUGCAACUGAUACUGUAUAACUUGAGUGUGAGAGAGGGAAGCGGAAUUCCUAGUGUAGCGGUGAAAUGCGUAGAUAUUAGGAGGAACACCAGUGGCGAAGGCGGCUUUCUGACUCAUAACUGACGCUGAGGCGCGAAAGCGUGGGGAGCAAACAGGAUUAGAUACCCUGGUA